CCUACGGGAGGCAGCAGUGAGGAAUAUUGGUCAAUGGGCGCGAGCCUGAACCAGCCAAGUCGCGUGAGGGAAGACGGUCCUAUGGAUUGUAAACCUCUUUUGUCGGGGAGCAAAAGACGCCACGCGUGGCGUUCCGAGAGUACCCGACGAAAAAGCAUCGGCUAACUCCGUGCCAGCAGCCGCGGUAAUACGGAGGAUGCGAGCGUUAUCCGGAUUUAUUGGGUUUAAAGGGUGCGCAGGCGGAAGAUCAAGUCAGCGGUAAAAUUGAGAGGCUCAACCUCUUCGAGCCGUUGAAACUGGUGUUCUUGAGUGAGUGAGAAGGAUGCGGAAUGCGUGGUGUAGCGGUGAAAUGCAUAGAUAUCACGCAGAACUCCGAUUGCGAAGGCAGCAUACCGGCGCUCAACUGACGCUCAUGCACGAAAGUGUGGGGAUCGAACAGGAUUAGAUACCCUUGUAGUC
rnacentral:rRNA from 1 species